UUCCGGAUGAUCGUUUGGAUCCGGAUUUUGUGCCUGUGCCUCUGGGACAACCCAGAGGCCCUGCUGGUGAAUCAGCAGAACAGAAUCCUGCCUCUGAGCCUGAAGGGGAUGCUGGAGAUGUGACUGGAGGAGGUGAUCCAGGUUCCGCUCUGAGCUCUGGGACUGAAACUCCGGCAGAUCGCAUGGGAGUGCCCCCAGGGAGGGCUUUGCCCGGUCAUGUGUUUCCUCCUGCGCUGGAGCCCAGCUGGAAUCCCAGCGGUCCGGAAAAAGGAAAGGAUGAACCCAAAAGAGGAGAAUACUCCCAGGGCUCAUCCCGUCUCCUCAAGGAACUGGUGAAGGAAAUGGAGAAGGCAGCGCGUGGAACUGACCAACAAAGUGAGCAGGAUGCACUGCAGGAAGGCAGCCAUCCCACACUGCCAGUCUCGGGCAAAGGAACGCAGGCAGCGCCAACAACUGUCAUGCCAGGGAUGAAUGCCGGGACGAGCACAAAGGCUGCUGUUGGCAGAUCUGCGCGAAAGGCGCCACAUCGCAGCGAUGGUACUGUUCUCAGCUGUGCUGCUGUCUGCGCUGGUGCUGGCCUGUGGUGCUGUGAUAUGGAUGUGCCAAAAAUACGUGUGAGUUGGCUUUUCCCCAGAACACUUUAUUGCUGCAUUUGGCAACGAAGCAUUUGUGGUGCCAGGAUCCUGGGCGGCCAGAUCAGUUGCUGGCAGUACACGGCCAGGACUUAUGUUGCCAAGUCUUUCAAGUUUCCCCUUAUUUCCUGUCAGUGAGUAGUGCUUUCUGAAACUCAUUCUCACAGAGUGUGCAAGAGAGAAGAGAGAGCAGCAGAGCAGGCUCAUCCUGAUACCAACUAGGAGAGAGUUCCAACUGGAGACGAGGGCAGAACGGAGCUGGGAGAGGCAGCCGAAGAGACUCUUGCCCCAUCAAAGAAGAAUCUCAGCCAUCGUCCCAGUGCAUUCCAUUCUGCCAUCCAAGAGGCCAAAGGUCUUCAAAGUCAUCUGGAAGACUUGGAGCUUGAACUCAAAGCCGUGAAAGAGGUCCACGGGAACAGUCCUGAGUGCUGCUUUCUGUCAGGGGACGGCCCUGAAAGUGAGAGCGGAGAACCAGCAGCAGAGCUUUUGUCCUUCACCCUGCAUUCUCUGGGACAAGCAUCAGCAACAUUUCAAAGAUUCUUAGCUCGGCAUAGCUACAAUCCUGUUGAGGGUCCUAAUGAGGAGCCAGAAAGCGAGCUUCCUCUGACCGCUGGACAACACCUUAACGUCUUUGGAGCUGUGGAUGAGAAUGUCUGGUUUCAGGGAGAGCUGACAGAUGGCACAAGAGGACUGGUCCCAUCCAGUUUGGUUGCGGAGGUUUCAGAUGAUGAACUGGAUACAACGAUGCCUCCGGAGCUCUGUGCUCUCCUGCUGGAUACUUGAUGAAUAAGUGGAUGCAGAGAUUCCAUCAUGCAGCAACAUCCUGUCAAAAUUCCUGCGUUACUCCAUCUGCAAGACUACCCCCUGCUCCACUUGAUGUUCAGGUGGAGUGUGUGCAGGACGUGGAUGAGCUCCUUUGGGAACACUCUGAGGUGACUGACAGUGUAACUGCAUAGUCUUGUGGUAUAUUAAACAAACAAACAAACAAACACCACCCACAAUAAAACAACCAACCAACCAAC
rnacentral:lncRNA from 1 species